rnacentral:lncRNA from 1 species
AAACUCCGCGUAUUCUUCACUGGAUUAUCACACAUAUUCUGCGUCCAACAAACAGCGGACACUCUCGGUUGGAUAGGCCUAGCAUACAUCUUCUCUACAUUCUGCAAAAUAAGGUUCUCCUAAAUUGGGCGAACUACUUUGUAAAACGUCUAUUCUUUGUGCGAGACAGCUCCAAGAAUGUGGCUCUAGGUUAUGCCUCUCAAAUAAUGAAAAUUCUUAAGUUUUGGAAAGUUG